AACGAACGCUGGCGGCGUGCCUAACACAUGCAAGUCGAACGGAAUUUGAGAGCUUGCUCUUAAAUUUAGUGGCGCACGGGUGAGUAACGCGUAGAUAAUCUGCCUGACGAUCUGGGAUAACACUUCGAAAGAGGUGCUAAUACCGGAUAAGCCCACGGAGUCUUUGGAUUCUGCGGGAAAAGGGGGGGACCUUCGGGCCUUCUGUCGUCAGAUGAGUCUGCGUACCAUUAGCUAGUUGGUAGGGUAAUGGCAUACCAAGGCGAUGAUGGUUAGGUGGGCUACGAGGAUGAUCAGCGACACUGGAACUGAAGCACGGGCCAGACUCCUACGGGAGGGAGCAGUGGGGAAUUUUGCGCAAUGGGCGAAAGCCUGACGCAGCAACGCCGCGUGAGUGAUUAAGGCUUUCGGGUCGUAAAGCUCUGUCGAGGGGAAAGAAGUGUACUUUGGCUAAUAUCCAUUGUACUUGACGGUACCCCUAAAGGAAGCACCGGCUAACUCCGUGCCAGCAGCCGCCGUAACAC
rnacentral:rRNA from 1 species